GAUGAACGCUGGCGGCGUGCUUAACACAUGCAAGUCGAACGGAAAGGCCCUGCUUGCAGGGUACUCGAGUGGCGAACGGGUGAGUAACACGUGGGUGAUCUGCCCUGUACUUUGGGAUAAGCCUGGUAAACUGGGUCUAAUACCGAAUAUGACAAUUGUUUGGAUGCGAUUGUGGAAAGCUUUUGCGGUAUGGGAUGAGCUCGCGGUCUAUCAGCUUGUUGGUGGGGUAAUGGCCUACCAAGGCGUCGACGGGUAGCCGGCCUGAGAGGGUGUACGGCCACAUUGGGACUGAGAUACGGCCCAGACUCCUACGGGAGGCAGCAGUGGGGAAUAUUGCACAAUGGGCGCAAGCCUGAUGCAGCGACGCCGCGUGGGGGAUGACGGCAUUCGGGUUGUAAACUCCUUUCGCAACCGACGAAGCCUUUUGGUGACGGUAGGUUGAGAAGAAGCACCGGCUAACUACGUG
rnacentral:rRNA from 1 species